rnacentral:rRNA from 1 species
ACUCCCGGAAACGGGAGCCACGCCCUUCGGGUGGAACAUGCACAGGUGCUGCAUGGCUGUCGUCAGCUCGUGCUGUGAAGUGUCGGGUUAAGUCCCUCAACGAGCGAAACCCCUGUCGCUAGUUGCUAACAGGUUAAGCUGAGUACUCUAGCGAGACCGCCGGUGUCAAACCGGAGGAAGGUGGGGAUGACGUCAAGUCCUCAUGGCCUUUAUGCCCAGGGCUGCACACGUGCUACAAUGGUACCGACAGAACGAUGCAAGACCGCAAGGUGGAGCAAAACGCUCAAAAGGUGCCCCAGUUCGGAUUGGAGGCUGCAAUUCGCCUCCAUGAAGUUGGAAUCGCUAGUAAUCGCGGAUCAGCUACGCCGCGGUGAAUAAGUUCCUGAGCCUUGUACACACCGCCCGUCAAGUCAUGGGAGCUGGCAGUGCCCGAAGUCGCCUCGAUUCAGGGGUGCCCACGGCAAGGCUGGUGACUGGGACUAAGUCGUAACAAGGUAGCCGUAGGGGAACCUGCGGCUGGAUCACCUCCUUUCUAAGG